UACGGAGGGUGCGAGCGUUGUCCGGAAUCACUGGGCGUAAAGGGCGCGUAGGCGGCGCGGGAAGUCCGUGGUGAAAGCCCGAGGCUCAACUUCGGGUCGGCCAUGGAUACUCCUGGGCUCGAGCACUGUAGAGGCAGGUGGAAUUCCGGGUGUAGCGGUGGAAUGCGUAGAGAUCCGGAAGAACACCGGUGGCGAAGGCGGCCUGCUGGGCAGUAGCUGACGCUGAGGCGCGACAGCGGUGGGGAGCAAACAGG
rnacentral:rRNA from 1 species